GACGAACGCUGGCGGCGUGCUUAACACAUGCAAGUCGAACGAAGAGCGAUGGAAGCUUGCUUCUAUCAAUCUUAGUGGCGAACGGGUGAGUAACGCGUAAUCAACCUGCCCUUCAGAGGGGGACAACAGUUGGAAACGACUGCUAAUACCGCAUACGAUCUAAUCUCGGCAUCGAGGAUAGAUGAAAGGUGGCCUCUACAUGUAAGCUAUCACUGAAGGAGGGGAUUGCGUCUGAUUAGCUAGUUGGAGGGGUAACGGCCCACCAAGGCGAUGAUCAGUGGCCGGUCUGAGAGGAUGAACGGCCACAUUGGGACUGAGACACGGCCCAGACUCCUACGGGAGGCAGCAGUGGGGAAUCUUCCGCAAUGGACGAAAGUCUGACGGAGCAACGCCGCGUGAGUGAUGACGGCCUUCGGGUUGUAAAGCUCUGUUAAUCGGGACGAAAGGCCUUCUUGCGAAUAGUGAGAAGGAUUGACGGUACCGGAAGAGAAAGCCACGGCUAACUACGUG
rnacentral:rRNA from 1 species